AGUGAACGCUGGCGGUAGGCCUAACACAUGCAAGUCGAACGGCAGCACAGGAGAGCUUGCUCUCUGGGUGGCGAGUGGCGGACGGGUGAGGAAUACAUCGGAAUCUACUCUGUCGUGGGGGAUAACGUAGGGAAACUUACGCUAAUACCGCAUACGACCUACGGGUGAAAGCAGGGGACCUUCCGGCCUUGCGCGAUUGAAUGAGCCGAUGUCGGAUUAGCUAGUUGGCGGGGUAAAGGCCCACCAAGGCGACGAUCCGUAGCUGGUCUGAGAGGAUGAUCGGCCACACUGGAACUGAGACACGGUCCAGACUCCUACGGGAGGCAGCAGUGGGGAAUAUUGGACAAUGGGCGCAAGCCUGAUCCAGCCAUACCGCGUGGGUGAAGAAGGCCUUCGGGUUGUAAAGCCCUUUUGUUGGGAAAGAAAUCCAGCUGGCUAAUACCCGGUUGGGAUGACGGUACCCAAAGAAUAAGCACCGGCUAACUUCGUGCCAGCAGCCGCGGUAA
rnacentral:rRNA from 1 species